UUGAACGAAACAUUUAUUCAAGGGCUGUUGAGGCGUAUUUCUUGAAUUGAAAUGAUGAAUUUCAUCAAGGUUUGUUGAGGCUUGGUCUUGAAUGAAAUGAAAAUUUUCUUCAAGGGCCGUAAAGGCUUAAUCUUGAAUAAAAUAGAAAUUUUUUUCAAGGGCCAUAGAGGCUUGAUCUUAAAUGAAAUGAAAAUUUAAUUCAAGGGCCAUAGAGGCUUGAUCUUGAAUGAAAAUUUUGAAAAUGGAUAAAUCGGCACAUACUUAUUGUUGAUUUUCCAUAAUUUUUGACAAAAUACAUUUAGUGUAUUUUGAGGCUUGGAUUUUUUUUCUUGUGGGUGUGGGAAAAAUGCUUUUUCCUUCCUUAGGUAGGAGCCUCCUUCAAUUUUGGCAAUGAGGGUGAUUUCCUUCAAGGUUUUGGAAAGAUUUAAUGCUUGUCCUUAGGUAAGUAGGAUUUCCAUUUUUUUCCUUUGAUUUCUGAUGAGUAGAUUUUAUAUUAUAUAUUUUACCCUAAUCUUAGUAUAUUUUGGUUAAUAUUUUGGAAGAAUUUUGAUGCUUUGAAUUGUAUUUUCAAUAUAAGACUUUCAACUUCCUCUGGAGCAAAACAGGACCAAAUGGACGAAUUUUGGAGUAAUUCUAGUUGAAGGACGUUCGUGAGUCACUUAGCUUGAUUGUAUCAAAAUCUGGGAUUUUUCCACCAAGCGGUUAUUUUCUGGCGAUAAAAUAAAGGAGCGAUGUGCAGUGUUGGAAAAUGAUGUUUUUGGGCUUAAAUUGCGUUUUUGGAGCCCAAAAUGACCUCGGAUGAGUUCGUGGCCUUCUGGAGAAGUGUUCAAAAUAUUCCAAACAUUAAAUCCAGCUAUAUUGGGCCAGUUUUGGAGCAGCUUAUGGGUCCAAAACGUGGCUGUUCAGAUUUUAGACGAAUUUUACCAUUUAAUUUAGGGAACUUUAACGAAAAACACCCAGUACUGUUCACUUUAACGAAAAACCACAUUUUUACACUAAAAAGUCAAUCCUGGUAAUAUUCACUUUACCCUUUAUUUUGUCCUUAUCAUUAAAACUCAAAGUUUUCAAGCCCUUUUCAUUAGUUUUCCAUUUAAUUUAGGGCUAUGUUCCCUAUUUUAUUUUAUUAUUAUUAUUAGUUUCCUAGUGGGAAUAAAGGACCUGUUUUUAGGGUUUGUGUGUGCGUGUGUUGGGGGGGGGGUUGGCAGAUUUAUUGCUUGGCCGUCUACCAUAUUUCUCUACGCUUUCUUUAUGCAAUUUUGGAGACAGAGAGAAUUGUUAGGGUUUUGGAGACUUUUUACUUGAAGGUGUUUUCAAUCAUUUUCUUGAAUAUAUUUUCUAUUAUUUCAAUUAUGAAUAUGUGUAACUAAUUUUUUUUGCUAGGGCGAAGCCUUGAGCCUUAGCAUGAAUAUGUGAUUUUUAUUUAAUUAUUUAUGAUUGAUUGCAUGCGUACUUUGAAUUAUUAAUCACCGGGAUUAAAACUAUCUAAUUGUUCUUAAUGCCUGAUCACCAUUAGGAUCUUUAGAAAAGUAAUUUGAUGUAAUUUUGGUCGGAAGAUUCCCUAAAAUUGACACUAGCUUCUUGUGAUUAAUAAUUGUAAUUUCACUUAAGAUAAACACCACGUCUUAAGGAUUGCAUGGUUUUUCAAAGGGUUUUCAUAAAGCAUAAUGAACCUUUCCUUUUCAGAUAAGCUCCAGACAUCUACUGUUCUCUUCUAUGUCGGAUCAGUAUUCUGUAGCUCCUGCCGCAGAUGCACACAUGCAUUAGAUAAUUUUCAUCCAUUUUUUUUCCCCAAAUCUAGGCAUAUAAAAAAAAAUCGAAGGGAGAUGUGGAUAAAAAUUACCCAUGAAUGUGUCGAAAUCAGAGAGGGAUGUGAUCUGUGGUGUCAUCUUUGCAGUUGUUGAUAUUAUUGUUUGAGGGUGCUCGAUUUCUGAGGAUGAAGGAGCAGCUGUGGAAAUGAGGGAAAAUGUGGGGGAAGGAUGUCUAUUUUUCAUUUUACAGAGAUAUGGGGUCUGAGUGAAACAAAGAGGGAGGGCUGAAUUUCUAAAGAGACAGAAAGCUCUUGCGUUUUUUAGAGUCAUGCAGAAGAGAGAGAGCAAAGAUGGAUUAGUUUGAAAUGAAAGCCAUGAGAGAUGUCUCUCAUUUUUCUAGAGAGAACGAGAGCCUUCGGGGUUUGCAAAUCACAUUAUUAUCCCUCUUCAUCUGACAAGGUAAUAGGACUGGACAGAAGAGAGCCGUUUGGCUCUACGAUCGAGGCUAGUGAAAAGGGAAUCCUAUGCGUGCUCGGGUUUUUCAAUUGACAAAUGCAGCUACUGCCCCAGCUUAUAUUGUAAUUGUUGCCAAGAUUGGACACACGGGGGGCUUGUAAGUGUUGGCUAACACGUCUUCGCAAGUUCCCAGCUACCAGGUCCUGCGUUUGAAUCCCCGAAGUGUUCAUUAGUGUUUUACUUCUCCACAUUUUUGUCAGCUCACCUCAGCAAGUUCACAGUUCCACCCUUCAACUCUCUGGUGUGUCAAUUUUUAAUACUUUUUCUUUUCUUUUAUUUUCUGUUUUCUGUUUUACUUUAUUUAAUUUUAUUGUUUUUCUAUUCCUUUUUCCUAUUUUCUUAUUUUCUUUUCUUAGGAUUUUUUUUUCUUUAUCUUUGAUUUUCGUUCUACAUUUUUCUAGGAUUUAGUUGUUUUGUUUCUGUUCUUGUUUCUUUUGUUUAUUUUCCACACUUUGAGGACAAAGUGUGAAAUAAGUUUGGGGGUGGGAAAGUAAAUUUUAUUUUUUUUUUAUUAUUGUGUCAGUUUAAAAUUUUCAUUCUUCUUAAGUUAAUAUCCAUAGAUUAUUUUAAACGUUAGAACAAAUGGACAUGGUGAAGGUUAAUCCCACAUUAGAGUCUUUACUAUUUAUCGUUGCUUAGAAACUAAUUCAUGAAUUAUACUUUGAACUUUGCACAUCACACCAACAUGGUUUGUGGGGAGUGAGAUUGAAACACUUGCUUUUAGUCUAAGUUUAUUUUUAAUUUUUGUUUUAAGUAAAGUCAGUUAUUAUUGUGAAUAAAGUAAUAAUUGUCUCACCCAAGGUUUUGCCUAGUAACCGGGCUAGUCCUGCCUAAUCAGCAUUGAUUCUCACGUCAAACGGUAGAGUUUUGGCAUGGGGCAGGGUGGUUAGUUGGUUUCGUAGCCUUUUCAGCUCGGGUUAAUAAGUCCUUAGGGGUGUUCUACACCUAGUGCCCUAAAGCCCUAUUGGUUUGGGAGUCAUUGACCUAAAGAUCACUACAUGGGUUGGAUCGAAAGCUUAAGUGAACCGACAUUGCACAACCAAUACUGUUACUGAAAAAAAAAAAAGAGAUAAAAAAUUGAAAAAAAGAAAGAAAAGAAAUAUAGUUAUAUUUAAAGUUAGUAUGUGUGAAAUAAAGAAGGACGAGAGGUAAGGGUUUUAGUCGAUUCUCCUUAACUAUGUUGGUUCACUUUACACCAAAGGAAGUUUGUGAAUUCUUUUCUAAUUGAUUCUAAAUAGCUUAGACUCUGUGGUGGGAUUGGUUGGAACUUUUGAAAAGAUGUUCUAGUUUUUAAAAUUUGCUAUGGAUUGCAACUUAGUCUUGUUUUGUCUUGGUUGAGUUUUCGCUAGUUGUCUAGUUUGUAAAGUUUUUAUUUUUUAUUUUUAGUCUUGUUUUGCUUGAGGACAAGCAAAAAGCUAAGUUUGGGGGUAUUUUGAUGAGUAGAUUUAUAUUAUAUAUUUUACCCUAAUCUUAGUAUAUUUUGGAAAUAUUUUAAUGCUUAGAAUUGUAUUUUCAAUAUAAGACUUUUGACUUCCUCUGGAGCAAAACAAGAUCAAAUGGACGAAUUUUGGAGUAAUUCCAGUUGAAGGACGUUCAUGAGUCACUUAGCUUGAUCAUAUCAAAUCUGGGAUUUUUCCACCAAGCGGUUAUUUUCUGGCGAUAAAAUAAAGGAGCGAUGAGCAGUG
rnacentral:lncRNA from 1 species